rnacentral:lncRNA from 10 species
AAUAUUUUUGUUCUAGAUUAUCUAUCCUGUUGGGAGCCUGGAGAAUGCAUUGCCACAGAAGUAUGAAUAAAUUCUCUUCAGUGAAGACCCUGAAGAACAUAUUUGUAUACAAUCCUGAGUAUCCCCUGAAAACCUGUUUUUAUGGAGAAACUUUAGAAGUGUUCAUUGAUUUGGGUAAGAUCACCACAUUAGGAAUUUCCAUCUUUCCAUCUGUCAUCUACAUGAUCUUGUAUGAUAUAUGAUAUCUUUUAUAUAAUUCAUGAUAUCCUUGAAUGGCAUACUCUUUGAUGUCAUUUUUUUCCUACUACACUCUUUAUUAUUUGUGUAUGUGUGAUAGGAACACUUUUAAAAAGCCUAUCACCUUACCAAAUUUUUAGUUAUGCAAUAUAGUACUAUUAGCUAUGGGCAGUAUAUUGUACAGUAGAUUUAGGACUUAUUCAUCUUGUAUGACUGAAACAGUGUGCUGCUUAAUUAAUACUUCCCCAUUUCCCCCUUCUCCUAUCCCUGGAAACCACCACUCUACUAUUUUACAUUCCUCAUAUAAUUGGUAUCAUAUAGUAUUUGUUCUUCCAUGUAAGGCUUUUUUAAUUUAGCACCCUGUCCUCUAGGUUCAUCCAUGUUGUCGCAACUGGCAGAAUUUCCUUCUUUUUUUUUUUUUUUUUUUUUUUUUUGAGACGGAGUCUGGCUUUGUCACCCAGGCCGGAGUGCAGUGGCGGGAUCUUGGCUCAAUGCAACCUCUGCUUCCUGGGUUCCCGCCAUUCUCCUGCCUCAGCCUCCCAUGUAGCUGGGACUACAGGCACACACCACCGGGCCCAGCUAAUUUUUUGUAUUUUUAGUAGAGAUGAGGUUUCGCCACGUUGGCCAGGCUGGUCUCUAACUCCUGACCUCAGGCAAUUCGCCCGCCUCGGCCUUCCAAACUUCCCUUCUUUUUAAAGACCAAAUAAUAUUCCAUUACAUAUAUAUACCACAUGUCUUUAUUUAUUUAUUUGUCAAUGGACAUUUAGGUUGCUCCCAUGUCUUUGCUAUUGUGAAUAAUGUUGCAAUAAACAUGAGAAUGAAGAUGUCUUUCAUAUCAUUAGAAAUCUUUCUUUUUUCUAUUAAAUCAUUUCAACCAGGUACACAUUCAUAUAUUGUCAUCAUUUGCAUCUUCAUCAAUCUACUGAAAAUGAAAUAACCCUUUCUGUCUCCUAAGAGGACAUGUUCUUGAAUAAAAAAUGAAAGUAGCAAUUGAUUCCUAAUUUUACUUUGGUUUAACUGGAUCAGCAGGAAUUAUUCAUUGAAAGGCAAAUAUGCUUUCAACAUGCUAAUUACAGUGGAGAUGAGGGGCUAUUCUUUACUUCUAUAGAGAGUUGAUUCAUCAAAAAUAACAUUUUUAUAUUUUAUUCAGGAUAAGUGAACAAAGUUUUUUGCCAUUACUUUUAGU